rnacentral:rRNA from 1 species
GUGUCAGCAGCCGCGGUAAGACGGAGGGUGCAAGCGUUGUUCGGAAUUACUGGGCGUAAAGGGCGCGUAGGCGGUCUGUUAAGUUCGGUGUGAAAGCCCCCGGCUCACCUGGGGAACUGCGCCGGAAACCGACAGACUCGAGUACCGGAGAGGAGGGUGGAAUUCCUGGUGUAGCGGUGAAAUGCGUAGAUAUCAGGAGGAACACCGGUGGCGAAGGCGGCCCUCUGGACGGAUACUGACGCUGAGGCGCGAAAGCGUGGGGAUCAAACAGGAUUAGAUACCCCCGUAGUCC